CUCAGCCAGCCCGUGCGCAUCCUCUCCCGCGAACUCACCCAGCGCCCGACGAGGGCGGACAACGCCGCCCCUCCCGCCGACGACCGCAGACGGCCAGACGACAGCCGCCCUCCGCCGCGCCUCCCCACCGACCUCUCCCAUUCGACACUUCCCUGACCUCUGUCGCUCCACUCUGCCGGGACUUCACCCGGCUGCGGCCGCCGCCACGCCCCCCUUCUUCCGCCGACGCCCGGCCCUGCCCCGAGCUCCGCCCCUCCGUCAGGCCUGUCGUCGUCUGCGGUCCUCCCCCCUGCCUCACCACUCCGCGAGCCCCACAGCGACUUGCCCUCUCAAUCCAUCCCGUAACUUCCCUCCCCCUCUCCUGAA
rnacentral:rRNA from 1 species